UAGUCUUAUCACUUAAUCUCUCUCUAAUUCUCUCAUUCCAUCAAUGGAAGUUACUAAAUUUCCAUAUUCUAACACUCUUCCUCUCAAAUAUUUUUCAUGCCAAUAUAAUAACAAACAACUAGUUUGUAUUACAAUCAGAGCAAAAAGAGAAUCAAGUGGACGAGAUUAUGGAGGUAAGCUUGUUGAUGAAGACAUGAUCACUCUUCGAAUGCGGAUUCGAAAUUUGAAGACUAGACAUGAUAAUUAUCAAGAAGGAUUGCUCUCCUCAGAUUGGAUGGAAUGGAAGAAAAAGUAUUUCUUGGACUACAAUGAAAGUUUACAAAGUUGUGGGGUUAUUGCAGAAUUAUUUGAUAAAUACUAUAUGAAACCAUUUUACUUAAUAAAUGAUAUCCAAC
rnacentral:lncRNA from 1 species